CUCCCUUAGCCUGGGCCAGGGUCUGGGGGCCUCUAGGCCUGGGGCAAUGUGGCAAGAUGAUCUGAGUUUGGGCGUAAAGACAGAAGCACCUACUACGUUCAAGGCCUGGUGUUAUGAGAUAUGAAGACUGGAGACACAUCCCUGCCUUUGAGCCAAAGGGAAUCUGUGCAUAUGCAGAUGUGGAAAUUCCAAGAGGUCAAGUGAUUUGCCGAAGUCAUACAGCCAGUAUGCAGCAGAGUUGGAAUCUGAAUCAGCUCUUUUGACCUGAGAUUCAUGCUCUUUGUGCUUAACUAUAACCACCUCACCACCCCACUGCUCUACAGCCCAGGAGAGACUCUGGCAGUGGACUCAUCUCAGAUCCUAGGGGUUCAAAGGCCCCUACGCUGAGGAUUCCCCUUCCUCAAGCUCCAGCCCCAGCACCAACUUCCUAGACACUUCCUAGUGGAUUUCCCAUAGAUAUCUCACCUUCACCACAGCCACAACAGAGCUCGCUGUCCUCCCCCGCCAGCUGCAAACCUUUUGCUUAGCCUCCUUUCUGUCAAAGGUACCAGCAACAAACACCCCGGUUUGCAGUCUUGGAGUCAUACCCUUCCUCACUUCUUGGAUCCAGCAGAAUGGAAUUGCUGGAGACUGGAGAAGGCUGAGUCUCCUGGUUAAAAAACAAGUCAACCAACAUCUAUUAAGAGCUCAUUGUAUCUACACGGCACAGUGCUAAGCACUGGAGAUCCAAAAAAGGGCAAAAACAGCCCCUGAGGAAGGAGUUCACCUAAUGGCUCAAGAUGCUACUGAUGGAUGAAUUCUGAAAAGUGAGGCAGAGGGAUGGCUCAAGUCAAUGUUAUUAUCAAUACUGUCA